rnacentral:lncRNA from 1 species
GUUCCCGUGUCAGUGGCUAUGAUGACACCUCAAGUUAUCACUCCCCAGCAAAUGCAGCAGAUCCUCCAGCAACAAGUGCUGAGCCCUCAGCAGCUCCAGGUUCUCCUCCAGCAGCAGCAGGCCCUCAUGCUUCAACAGCAGCAGCUUCAAGAGUUUUAUAAAAAACAACAGGAACAGUUGCAGCUUCAACUUUUACAACAACAACAUGCUGGAAAACAGCCUAAAGAGCAACAGCAGGUGGCUACCCAGCAGUUGGCUUUUCAGCAGCAGCUUUUACAGAUGCAGCAGUUACAGCAGCAGCACCUCCUGUCUUUGCAGCGCCAAGGCCUUCUGACAAUUCAGCCCGGGCAGCCUGCCCUUCCCCUUCAACCUCUUGCUCAAGGCAUGAUUCCAACAGAACUGCAGCAGCUCUGGAAAGAAGUGACAAGUGCUCAUACUGCAGAAGAAACCACAGGCAACAAUCACAGCAGUUUGGAUCUGACCACGACAUGUGUCUCCUCCUCUGCACCUUCCAAGACCUCCUUAAUAAUGAACCCACAUGCCUCUACCAAUGGACAGCUCUCAGUCCACACUCCCAAAAGGGAAAGGCAGAGCUUCCACACACAGAGGUAAAGAAACCGUAAAAGUAGUAUGUGACAGUAAAUGCCAUUUCUCUCAGGAGAAAGCAAAUUCUGUAUUGUGUUUUUUAAUAAAAAUGGCUCAGUGAAAAAACA